CGAACUCAGACGUUUUAUUUUAAAACUAAAGAAGACUCUUUUCGAUAGCAGUAAGCUAUUACAGUGGCGACGAGGAGAUAAUUUUACCAUUUUACCGUUUUUCACAGCCGCCGGUGAGAUUUGUGACCAUUUUUGGCGUGAUUUUUCGGCCACAAUAAAGAGGCCCGAUACCAGCCCGGCGUCUAUUCAUCAAUUGUGAUCAACUGUGGUAGCCUCACGGUGAAACCGGUUAAACAGGCGAUCCCAUUUUGAGAAGCGACACUCACGUACGAGAAGUGCCAACUGUCAGCAAGUGAACAUAGCCGGAAAGUGCAUUCUGCGAGCGAAGCGUUCGUUAUCGGUGCAGUAAGGAGUGACGAGAAUAAAUUGGAUAAACUGAUUUCAUCCGGGGUGCUGCUGCUGUUGUUGUUUUUUUUGCUGUUGGUUGCUGUUGGUGUUUUGCUGCUGGUGCAUCGCUAAAUACGGAGCUCAUCUGCCUUUGUCAUAUUGUUGACAUUUUAGCUGGGAAUCAGCUUCUGGUGUUACUUAUCCGAACUGAGAAACCAAUUUAUUAAGGAUUGCUGCUGGGAGUGCUUUUGCUAAGAAGAUCAAUAGCAAGUGAACGUUUGGUGCUAUCGGCUGACUGCUUUGGUGUUUUGGAAGUGUGCUUUUGGUUUUGCACCGCCGCUGCAGAGUUAAAUACACAGAUAUCCUUAAACGGUCGGAUAGUUUCGGCGCACAAGCGUCAAAUUAAAUUUGUGGAAGACUCUCGCCGACGAUCUUUCCGUCGUUUUGUGUUUAAUGGAGAGAGUCCAGCCAUUUUAGCACAACCCAGCAGCAACACCAGCAAUUUUGAUGAAUUUUCCGGAAGUGCCGGUCAAAGUAGGAAACGUAAAAGAAGUGAAGAUGAGAGCGAAGACUCCGAUUCGGACUUUUAUGGCUUCGCGGCCGAAUCUCUUUUGUUCGAUGAGGAAGAGCUCGCCGGUACGACUUCCGUUCCUGCCUCAAAUGUGGUCGAAGUCGAUUGCCGCAGUAUCGAUGAGAGGCGAGCAUCAAGUCGGAUUGACGAAAUGGAAAAUAUUCCGGAAGAGAAUGUUCGAAUAUUCCGCGAAGAAGAACGGCCUCGACGUAGCAAAAGACAGACAGAAAAAAGAAGAAAAAGAGACUAUGUAUAUUAUUGAAAUAAGUGAUAUGAUCGAAUUCUGUUUUAGUUUUGAAAUUACGGUAGUUUAAAAUGAAGACUCGAAUAUGCAAACACAGAAUGAAAAGUUUGCUUUCUGAAUUGUUACACUUAAGUUUUUCAAUUAAAAAAAAUCUGAAUUAUAGUUUUAAGCAUUGCUAUCCUCUACUAGACUAUUAACUUAAGGGGAAAAGAGUUGUAGUGGCAAGCGUAGAUUACGCUAUUCGGUAAAAUAGCAGAACCCACCUUGAGGUUCUCUGAGCAUACAGAUAUGUUUCAAUAAACAGUUGUUACCAGAUUGACCACGAA